rnacentral:rRNA from 1 species
UACGAAGGGGGCUAGCGUUGUUCGGAAUCACUGGGCGUAAAGGGUGCGUAGGCGGCUUUAUAAGUCGGGGGUGAAAGCCUGUGGCUCAACCACAGAAUUGCCUUCGAUACUGUAGAGCUUGAGACCGGAAGAGGUAAGUGGAACUGCGAGUGUAGAGGUGAAAUUCGUAGAUAUUCGCAAGAACACCAGUGGCGAAGGCGGCUUACUGGUCCGGUUCUGACGCUGAGGCGCGAAAGCGUGGGGAGCAAACAGG